GCCUGCCUCAAGAUGAGAUUUCCCAAUUCGUAAGACCCCUGGAAGAACACCAGGUUGAUAGGCUCGGGGUGGAAGCGCGGCAACGUGUGCAGCUGACGAGUACUAAUCGGUCGAGGGCUUAUCCUAA
rnacentral:rRNA from 1 species